rnacentral:siRNA from 1 species
AUGUGGAAAGUAUAAGUGAGA